rnacentral:misc_RNA from 1 species
GUUCUAAGUUCCCGCAGAGAUGAAUAUUUCAGUGAUACAAGAUCACUAGAAAUUCACUCUCUCAAUUCUCACAAAGACCAAGGAGGGCUAAAUUUCUUAUACUCCAAACUGAAAAUCCAAUAUUGCUUCUCUUUGUUUGCAGAUAAAGAAAUCACAGACAGCGAGAGUUUGAAUUUAGAAUCUGGGAAACUAGGGCUUCAAAGUGAAUGUGUAUUUUUGAGAGAAAGAGUAAGUGAGUGGAUGAGAGUAUGAAAAAUAGGAAGAAUGGCUGGUAGAUAAUUGGUGUUAACGAGGCUUUCUCUCUAAACCGAUGGAAGAUGAAAGCUCGUCGGUGCAGUUUUUGGUUCCCUUGAAAUCAG